rnacentral:rRNA from 1 species
GACGGAGGGUGCAAGCGUUGUUCGGAAUUACUGGGCGUAAAGGGCGCGUAGGCGGUCUGUUAAGUUCGGUGUGAAAGCCCCCGGCUCACCUGGGGAACUGCGCCGGAAACCGACAGACUCGAGUACCGGAGAGGAGGGUGGAAUUCCUGGUGUAGCGGUGAAAUGCGUAGAUAUCAGGAGGAACACCGGUGGCGAAGGCGGCCCUCUGGACGGAUACUGACGC